rnacentral:rRNA from 1 species
GAUCAUGGCUCAGGAUGAACGCUGGCGGCGUGCUUAACACAUGCAAGUCGAACGGGAAACCUUUUAUUGAAGCUUCGGCAGAUUUAGCUGGUUUCUAGUGGCGGACGGGUGAGUAACGCGUGGGUAACCUGCCCUAUACAGGGGGAUAACAACCAGAAAUGAUUGCUAAUACCGCAUAAGCGCACAGGACCGCAUGGUCCAGUGUGAAAAACUCCGGUGGUAUAGGAUGGACCCGCGUUGGAUUAG